rnacentral:rRNA from 1 species
AUACGAAGGGUGCAAGCGUUAAUCGGAAUUACUGGGCGUAAAGCGCGCGUAGGUGGUUCAGCAAGUUGGAUGUGAAAGCCCCGGGCUCAACCUGGGAACUGCAUCCAAAACUACUGAGCUAGAGUACGGUAGAGGGUGGUGGAAUUUCCUGUGUAGCGGUGAAAUGCGUAGAUAUAGGAAGGAAAACCAGUGGCGAAGGCGCCCACCUGGAGUGAUACUGAACCUGAGGUGCGAAAGCGGGGGGAGCAAACAGGAUUAGAUCCCCUGGUAGUCCACGCCGUAAACGAUGUCAACUAGUUGUUGGGUUCCUUGAGAACUUAGUAACGAAGCUAACGCGAUAAGUUGACCGCCUGGGGAGUACGGCCGCAAGGUUAAAACUCAAAUGAAUUGGCGGGG